UUAAGCGACUAAGCGUACACGGUGGAUGCCCUGGCAGUCAGAGGCGAUGAAGGACGUGCUAAUCUGCGAAAAGCGUCGGUAAGGUGAUAUGAACCGUUAUAACCGGCGAUGUCCGAAUGGGGAAACCCAGUGCAAUUCGUUGCACUAUCGUUAACUGAAUACAUAGGUUAACGAGGCGAACCGGGGGAACUGAAACAUCUAAGUACCCCGAGGAAAAGAAAUCAACCGAGAUUCCCCCAGUAGCGGCGAGCGAACGGGGAGCAGCCCAGAGUCUGAAUCAGCUUGUGUGUUAGUGGAACGGUCUGGAAAGUCCGACGGUACAGGGUGAUAGUCCCGUACACCAAAAUGCACAGGCUGUGAACUCGAAGAGUAGGGCGGGACACGUGGUAUCCUGUCUGAAUAUGGGGGGACCAUCCUCCAAGGCUAAAUACUCCUGACUGACCGAUAGUGAACCAGUACCGUGAGGGAAAGGCGAAAAGAACCCCGGCGAGGGGAGUGAAAAAGAACCUGAAACCGUGUACGUACAAGCAGUGGGAGCACCUUCGGGUGUGACUGCGUACCUUUUGUAUAAUGGGUCAGCGACUUAUAUUCUGUAGCAAGGUUAACCGUAUAGGGGAGCCGCAGGGAAACCGAGUCUUAACUGGGCGUUAAGUUGCAGGGUAUAGACCCGAAACCCGGUGAUCUAGCCAUGGGCAGGUUGAAGGUUGGGUAACACUAACUGGAGGACCGAACCGACUAAUGUUGAAAAAUUAGCGGAUGACUUGUGGCUGGGGGUGAAAGGCCAAUCAAACCGGGAGAUAGCUGGUUCUCCCCGAAAGCUAUUUAGGUAGCGCCUCGUGAACUCAUCUUCGGGGGUAGAGCACUGUUUCGGCUAGGGGGUCAUCCCGACUUACCAACCCGAUGCAAACUACGAAUACCGAAGAAUGUUAUCACGGGAGACACACGGCGGGUGCUAACGUCCGUCGUGAAGAGGGAAACAACCCAGACCGCCAGCUAAGGUCCCAAAGUCAUGGUUAAGUGGGAAACGAUGUGGGAAGGCACAGACAGCCAGGAUGUUGGCUUAGAAGCAGCCAUCAUUUAAAGAAAGCGUAAUAGCUCACUGGUCGAGUCGGCCUGCGCGGAAGAUGUAACGGGGCUAAACCAUGCACCGAAGCUGCGGCAGCGACACUAUGUGUUGUUGGGUAGGGGAGCGUUCUGUAAGCCUGCGAAGGUGUGCUGUGAGGCAUGCUGGAGGUAUCAGAAGUGCGAAUGCUGACAUAAGUAACGAUAAAGCGGGUGAAAAGCCCGCUCGCCGGAAGACCAAGGGUUCCUGUCCAACGUUAAUCGGGGCAGGGUGAGUCGACCCCUAAGGCGAGGCCGAAAGGCGUAGUCGAUGGGAAACAGGUUAAUAUUCCUGUACUUGGUGUUACUGCGAAGGGGGGACGGAGAAGGCUAUGUUAGCCGGGCGACGGUUGUCCCGGUUUAAGCAUGUAGGCUGGUUGUCCAGGCAAAUACGGAUAAUCAAGGCUGAGGUGUGAUGACGAGGCACUACGGUGCUGAAGUAACAAAUGCCCUGCUUCCAGGAAAAGCCUCUAAGCAUCAGGUAACAUCAAAUCGUACCCCAAACCGACACAGGUGGUCAGGUAGAGAAUACCAAGGCGCUUGAGAGAACUCGGGUGAAGGAACUAGGCAAAAUGGUGCCGUAACUUCGGGAGAAGGCACGCUGGUGUGUAGGUGAAGCCCCUGCGGGUGGAGCUGAGACCAGUCGAAGAUACCAGCUGGCUGCAACUGUUUAUUAAAAACACAGCACUGUGCAAACACGAAAGUGGACGUAUACGGUGUGACGCCUGCCCGGUGCCGGAAGGUUAAUUGAUGGGGUUAUCCGUAAGGAGAAGCUCUUGAUCGAAGCCCCGGUAAACGGCGGCCGUAACUAUAACGGUCCUAAGGUAGCGAAAUUCCUUGUCGGGUAAGUUCCGACCUGCACGAAUGGCGUAAUGAUGGCCAGGCUGUCUCCACCCGAGACUCAGUGAAAUUGAACUCGCUGUGAAGAUGCAGUGUACCCGCGGCAAGACGGAAAGACCCCGUGAACCUUUACUAUAGCUUGACACUGAACAUUGAGCCUUGAUGUGUAGGAUAGGUGGGAGGCUUUGAAGCGUGGACGCCAGUCUGCGUGGAGCCAACCUUGAAAUACCACCCUUUAAUGUUUGAUGUUCUAACGUUGGCCCCUUACCGGGGUUGCGGACAGUGUCUGGUGGGUAGUUUGACUGGGGCGGUCUCCUCCCAAAGCGUAACGGAGGAGCACGAAGGUUAGCUAAUCCUGGUCGGACAUCAGGAGGUUAGUGCAAUGGCAUAAGCUAGCUUGACUGCGAGCGUGACGGCGCGAGCAGGUGCGAAAGCAGGUCAUAGUGAUCCGGUGGUUCUGAAUGGAAGGGCCAUCGCUCAACGGAUAAAAGGUACUCCGGGGAUAACAGGCUGAUACCGCCCAAGAGUUCAUAUCGACGGCGGUGUUUGGCACCUCGAUGUCGGCUCAUCACAUCCUGGGGCUGAAGUAGGUCCCAAGGGUAUGGCUGUUCGCCAUUUAAAGUGGUACGCGAGCUGGGUUUAGAACGUCGUGAGACAGUUCGGUCCCUAUCUGCCGUGGGCGCUGGAGAAUUGAGGGGGGCUGCUCCUAGUACGAGAGGACCGGAGUGGACGCAUCACUGGUGUUCGGGUUGUCAUGCCAAUGGCACUGCCCGGUAGCUAAAUGCGGAAGAGAUAAGUGCUGAAAGCAUCUAAGCACGAAACUUGCCCCGAGAUGAGUUCUCCCUGAGACUUUAAGUCUCCUGAAGGAACGUUGAAGACGACGACGUUGAUAGGCCGGGUGUGUAAGCGCAGCGAUGCGUUGAGCUAACCGGUACUAAUGAACCGUGAGGCUUAACCUU
rnacentral:rRNA from 1 species